UUGACGGGGGAGCUCCCCUGGUCCCUGCUCCUGCACUGCCCUCCACCGCCUGCAGAGGGCGCCGGGCCCCACCUCCCGCCCUGAGCCUGGCCUGCGCAGCCGCAGCUGAGACAGCCGCCAGGCCUCCUCGGGACCGCUGUGGAGACUUCUGGAGGACGUGGUGCCACUGCCACGCUAACAGGACAAGCUGGGGAGGACGUGGGGCCGCUUGCACACUGACAGCCGUGCAGCCCCCUCUGGACGGCCACUGGAGCAGACAAAGAAGCGAUCAGUGUGUGAAGAAGAAUUGAGAGACACAGGAGUUUGGACUCGGGCUGGUAAAUGACAAAGAAGUAACUGGGAAGAUAAAGCUCAGAGCAGCCUCCAAGCCCUGCAUCUCGAGAUUCCAUGACCUGUGCCUCCUGCCUUCAUUUGAGGACCUCGGUGGUUUCCUGUUGCUCCCGUGGCAGUUCCUGGAUCACUGGAGGGAUCGUACCCUUGUCUGUGCUUUGACCUCUUCCUGUCCUGCACGGAGCUCACCCAUCUUUGCACCUUCCAUGGAUGUACUUGGAAGCACGCUUAUCCACAGGGAACCUAUUGGCCAAAGGGAUCCAGGGAACGACCGUUGAAUUAGCGAUCCAGGAUAGAGAACCAGCCUGCUCUGAACCCUGUCCUGCACUCUGUGACUGUCUUACAUUAAAACAGAAACAGUAACAGCUUUCUGGACUGUGAAGUGGCAUCUGUCUCUAUGUACACCGUUGAAUGCCAGGUGCAGAGCCGGGACAGAAAGCAACCAUGGCUCCUGUGGGCUGGGAUCAACAGUUUAAGUGUGAGAACUCAGUGAAAUCUGAAUAAAUAUUGUCGAGGAAAUACUCCCAAGUAGGACUUAUGAACAUUGCACAGCAAAAGCUUUUUCAAAUAGGUUACUGAAAGAAAAAUUGUUUUUAUGUUUUGUUUUAAUUCCAGUUGACUUAACAUACAGUGGUGUAUUCGUUUCAGAUGUACAACAGGGUGAUUCUGUGGUUUGGUAUGUUACUCCGUGCUCAUCGGGAAAAGCAUAAUCUUAAUUCCCUUCACCUAGUUCACUCUUCCUUCCACCCACCUCCCCUUUG